rnacentral:rRNA from 1 species
CUACGGGAUGCACCAGUGGGGAAUAUUGGACAAUGGGGGAAACCCUGAUCCAGCAAUGCCGCGUGUGUGAAGAAGGCCUGCGGGUUGUAAAGCACUUUCGGUUGGGAGGACUGCUUCUAGCACUAAUAUUGUUGGAAGUUGACGUUACCUUCAGAAGAAGCACCGGCUAACUCCGUGCCAGCAGCCUCGGUAAUACGGGAGGGUGCAAGCGUUAAUCGGAAUUACUGGGCGUAAAGCGCGCGUAGGCGGCUAGAUCAGUCGGGUGUGAAAGCCCCGGGCUUAACCUGGGAACUGCAUCCGAUACUGUCUAGCUUGAGUACAGGAGAGGAGAGUGGAAUUCCACAUGUAGCGGUGAAAUGCGUAGAUAUGUGGAGGAACACCAAUGGCGAAGGCAGCUCUCUGGCCUGAUACUGACGCUGAGGUGCGAAAGCGUGGGGAGCAAACAGGAUUGAUACCCGAGUAGUC